UUUUUUUUUUUUUUCAGAAGUGAGCAACAUAGGAGAGAAAAAUGAUUUUUCCCUGUGAGCAGUGAACUGAUAAGCUUUGUGAGGUGGAGAUUCUAUUCCUUAUAGGAAAGGAUUAAUGUGGGACCAGCUCUUCUGUUGGCAAAGGGAGGUUGCCCUCUGCUAUUGCUGUGAGGGGGUAAUUAGGAUCCAUAUUAGCUAUGAAAGUGUCUUUAACAUCCCCUAGAGAGCCAUCUGCCCUGCCUUACUUCCUCCUUAGCCAAGUCCUGGGGAUCUGUAUCUGGAACUGUCUCAUUUUUAAGUUUACUUACCACACACAAUGAGGAUAUGUGCCAGUCCCUGCCCUGUCUCUGGCAUGACAGCUGAUGGUCUGUGAGACCCAGAUCCCUGAGCUGUCCCCUGGCCUCACUGGGCAGACUCUAGGCCUCUGUCUCACCAAUUCUGAGCUUCUCCAUGUUCUCUAUGUAUGUUCUCAUGGCUUGGAGUGUCUUCCUCCUUCUCUUGGCUGACUCCUACUUAUGCUUCAGGCCCUCGCUCUGGGGUGUCUUCUCCAGGAAUCCUCCUCUGAAUCCUCCCCAUCACAGAUGAACUGCAGAGUGCUCCCAAAGCGUCCCAUGCUUUUCUCUGUCACAGCCCUGAUCGUUCUGGAUGAUACCUCUCUAUUUACUUGUUUCAUACACAGGACCUCAAGCACGGCAGAAACAGUAGUUAUGUGUUUUACCUUGUGACUUAAGAUCCAGCAGAGGGCUUGGCACCUGAUAGGCAUUUGCUAAUGAUGGGAGAUGACCUGCCCUGGAAGGCAGAUGGGGGAGGGGGAUCUCUUAGGCUGAAAUUUCUGUUAGCAAUAGAGGUUCAGGGAAUGUUCUUCCAGGUGGUGAGGAAUGGGUCCUCCAAGGGGAUCUUGAAAGUCAAGAAGAGAAUGGACAGCACAAGAUGGGAAUUAGAACAUCCUUGGGAAGAGCCCCACCUCCUGCUUCCUGCAGAAAUGCAGGGAUGGUGCCAUGGAUGAGAUCUUACUAUUAUGCACCCUAUCACCGGGGACCAUUCACUUGGCUAAGGAAUGUGGAAGAGGCAAAAGCCAUACUGUAUCUACACCAACGUAUGUUCUGUGAUUCCCACAGACAGCAUCUCCUGAAACUGGUUUUGAGGAGCACGCUGGGAGACAUUAAUAUUAAUAUUUUUCUUUUUCGUUUUCUUUUUUUUAACUCUCCAGAUAAUCCACCAGGUUGUAAGACUGAGGCACCUUUGAGCUCAGCAACCUUCAUGUCCUCCUUCCUUUCCUCCCUCCUUCUCGCUCUUAUCUUUACUCUCCUUCCUUUUUUCCCUUCUUCUAGAGGUUUUCUAAGGGUGGCAUUGUGAAUUGUUGUAAUAGAGCAGGCCGCAAAUGUAUUUGCAUGUGACUGAUGCUUGGCUUACAGACAGCCACAGGCUACACAUGCUGAGAGUGUCGGUCGAGGGCUGGUAGGGAUGCUGCGCCCCUGACAAACUUGUGUUCC
rnacentral:lncRNA from 1 species